AACGCUGGCGGCGCGCUUAACACAUGCAAGUCGAGCGAGAACCAGGACUUCGGUCCUGGGGACAGCGGCGAACGGGUGAGUAACACGUGGGUAAUCUGCCCUCGAUUCUGGGAUAGCCCGGGGAAACCCGGAUUAAUACCGGAUAGCCUCUCGAGCUCUCGGGCUCACGAGAAAAGGUAGCUUCGGCCUCCGAUCGAGGAUGAGCCCGCGGCGGAUUAGCUUGUUGGCGGGGUAAUGGCCCACCAAGGCGACGAUCCGUAGCUGGUCUGAGAGGACGAUCAGCCACACUGGGACUGAGACACGGCCCAGACUCCUACGGGAGGCAGCAGUGGGGAAUCUUGCGCAAUGGGCGAAAGCCUGACGCAGCGACGCCGCGUGGGGGAAGUAGGCCUUCGGGUUGUAAACCUCUUUCAGGAGGGGCGAAGCCACUCGGGUUAAUAGCCCAGAGGGUGACGGUACCUCCAGAAGAAGCCCCGGCUAACUACGUGCCAGCAGCCGCAGUAACAC
rnacentral:rRNA from 1 species